rnacentral:misc_RNA from 1 species
GUGAAUCAUCGAAUUUUUGAGCGCAAAUUGCACUCUCCUCGGAGACUAUGCGUGUUUGAGGGUCAGCCUAUAAUAAAUCUACAUCGUUGCUGUUUCGCGGUGUCGUUCGUCGGAAAUUGGGUCAUCUUAAAUCUUUUUGCUUUAAGCGACUUAAAAAUUUCUUUUGGUUCCAUGAACGUUUCUAGGUUCUAUUUCUUUACACGUUUAAGGUAUCGUUCUUUACUACACGUUACACUCAUAUCGGAU